rnacentral:rRNA from 1 species
UACGUAGGGUGCGAGCGUUACUCGGAAUUACUGGGCGUAAAGCGUGCGCAGGCGGUUUUGCAAGCCGGAUGUGAAAUCCCCGGGCUUAACCUGGGAAUGGCAUUCGGGACUGCAAGGCUGGAGUGCGGCAGAGGAGACUGGAAUUCCUGGUGUAGCAGUGAAAUGCGUAGAUAUCAGGAGGAAUACCGAUGGCGAAGGCAGGUCUCUGGGCUGACACUGACGCUCAUGCACGAAAGCGUGGGGAGCAAACAGG